ensembl:lncRNA
CCCAAAUUGCCAAACCACUGCAUCCGAGGAGGCACUGCUUGGGACUGGAGCUUCCAGCAGACUUGAAAGGGCUAAUGUGUUUUAUCAGGGGCUGAAGCUGAUGGGGUAAUCAUCAGGGAAAGCUAUGGAUCUGACUGAUGCUCGGGCAAGCAGUCUUCCCCUGUCAUCCAGGAAGCCCUCGAGCUCAUCACUAUGGCAUCUGCUGGGCCUGCGAUGGAUCAAAGCGAAAGUUAGGAUGGAAAAGCGAGGCUCCUGG